GUUCAAUUUCAUCCCUCACCUGAUAUGGAACAGAUAAGCGAUUCUCAGUAAAACUAAAACAAAAAAAUAAAGCAUGUUGCAGCAGUAUCAGUCAUUGCACUCCAGGAAUUCUUGUUUCCCACAUAAAAAUCAUUUAACACUUUCACAGCAAACUUUAUCUCUCCAAAAUCCAAAUGCAUCAUAUUGAAAUCAUAAUAAUACAUAAAAAAAAAAGCAUAAAAAGAAUGCGCAUAAUUUAAGAAAUGCUCAUCAACUUAAUCACUAACAUCAAGAUUUUCACCAGAUAAAAAUUUAAGGAGAAAAAAACCUCUGUAGUAAACUUAAUUAAGACAUUUGCAUGAGUUUUCAUACAUUAAAGAAAAGAGAGAGAAG
rnacentral:misc_RNA from 1 species